AGCGAACGCUGGCGGCAGGCUUAACACAUGCAAGUCGAACGGGCACCUUCGGGUGUCAGUGGCAGACGGGUGAGUAACACGUGGGAACGUGCCCUUCGGUUCGGAAUAACUCAGGGAAACUUGAGCUAAUACCGGAUACGCCUUUAUGGGGAAAGGUUUACCGCCGAAGGAUCGGCCCGCGUCUGAUUAGCGCGUGGGUGGGGUAACGGCCUCACAAGGCGACAAUCAGUAGCUGGUCUGAGAGGAUGAUCAGCCACACUGGGACUGAGACACGGGCCAGACUCCUACGGGAGGCAGCAGUGGGGAAUAUUGGACAAUGGGCGCAAGCCGGAUCCAGACAUGCCGCGUGAGUGAUUAAGGCCCUAGGGUUGUAAAGCUCUUUCGCCAGGGACGAUAAUGACGGUACCUGGAUAAGAAGCCCCGGCUAACUUCGUGCCAGCCGCCGCAGUAAAAC
rnacentral:rRNA from 1 species